rnacentral:lncRNA from 1 species
CUCUAACUUCCGCGACGCAUAUAAGGCCCUGCCCCGCCCCCCUUUCGGAAAAGCUGACCACGACUCCAUUUUGUUGAUCCCUGCCUACAGACAGAAACUAAAACAAGAGGCUCCCACGCUGAGGUCUGUCCAACGCUGGUCCGACCAAGCUGACUCCACACUCCAAGACUGCUUCCAUCACGUGGACUGGGACAUGUUUCGUAUUGCGUCAGAUAACAAUAUUGACGAAUGCGCUGAUUCGGUGUGCGAGUUCAUUAGAAUGUGCGUUGAAGAUGUCGUUCCCAUAGCAACGAUUAAAACAUUCCCUAACCAGAAACCGUGGAUUGAUGGCAGCAUUCGUGUGGAACUGAAAGCGCGAACCACUGCUUUUAAUCAGGGCAAGGUGUCUGGUAACAUGACCGAAUACAAACAGUGCAGCUAUUCCCUCCGCAAGGCUAUCAAACAAGCUAAGCGUCAGUACAGAGACAAAGUAGAAUCUCAAUUCAACGGCUCAGACACAAGAGGCAUGUGGCAGGGUCUACAGUCAAUCACGGACUACAGGAAGAAAUCCAGCCCAGUCACGGACCAGGAUGUCUUGCUCCCAGGCAGACUAAAUAACUUUUUUGCCCGCUUUGAGGACAAUACAGUGCCACUGACACGGCCUGCAACGAAAACAUGCGGUCUCUCCUUCACUGCAGCCGAGGUGAGUAAGACAUUUAAACGUGUUAACCCUCGCAAGGCUGCAGGCCCAGACGGCAUCCCCAGCCGCGCCCUCAGAGCAUGCGCAGACCAGCUGGCCGGUGUGUUUACGGACCUAUUCAAUGAAUCCCUAUACCAGUCUGCUGUUCCCACAUGCUUCAAGAGGGCCACCAUUGUUCCUGUUCCCAAGAAAGCUAAGGUAACUGAGCUAAACGACUACCGCCCCGUAGCACUCACAUCCGUCAUCAUGAAGUGCUUUGAGAGACUAGUCAAGGACCAUAUCACCUCCACCCUACCUAACACCCUAGACCCACUCCAAUUUGCUUACCGCCCAAAUAGGUCCACAGACAAUGCAAUCUCAACCACACUGCACACUGCCCUAACCCAUCUGGACAAGAGGAAUACCUAUGUGAGAAUGCUGUUCAUCGACUACAGCUCGGCAUUCAACACCAUAGUACCCUCCAAGCUCGUCAUCAAGCUCGAGACCCUGGGUCUCGACCCCGCCCUGUGCAACUGGGUACUGGACUUCCUGACGGGCCGCCCCCAGGUGGUGAGGGUAGGCAACAACAUCUCCUCCCCGCUGAUCCUCAAC